AACUUCUGCACCUCAUGGUAGCUGAGGACACAAGGACAGAGGACACAGGUGAGAGGACAGAGGACACAAGGACAGAGGACACAGGUUAAAGGACACAGGUGAGAGGACAGAGGACACAAGGACAGAGGACACAGGUUAAAGGAAACAGUAUAAAGGACAGAGGGCACAAGGACAGAGGACACAGGUUAAAGUAUACAGGUGAAAGGACAGAGGACACAAGGACAGAGGACACAGGUUAAAGGACACAGGACAGAGGACAAAGGUUAAAGGACAGAGGACACAAGGACAGAGGACACAGGUUAAAGGACACAAGGACAGAGGACACAGGUUAAAGGAUACAGGUGAGAGGACAGAGGACACAAGGACACAGGUUAAAGGAAACAGACACAAGGACAGAGGACACAGGUUAAAGGACAUAGGUGAGAGUUUGCUCAGGUCGAGAGAUCAGUCUAAACUGUGACCUCACUUCCUGUUUGCUCAGGUGUUUUACCUGCCCCGGUCGUUGAGAGCGAACACGAGUAAGAAUCCUUCUCCUGAUCUCAUGUACUGCUCCCUCAUCGCUCCAAACUCCUCCUGACCAGCUGUGUCCAAGACUGACACACACACACACACACACACACACACA